CCAAUACCUCUUCCAAACAGAACCCUUGCCAAAGAAAAAACCGGGACAACUUUGUGAGUCUCACCUGAGUUUUUCAUCAACCCAUACCACAAUAAACAGAAAAAAAAAAGCAAACAAAAAAUUGGGCGGCUUUGUGAGUCUCACACAAGUUUUUCAUCAAUCCAUAACUUCAAGACUAGGGGCAGCUUUGCAAAUCUCAUUUGAAAUUUUCUCACCCUAACUUUCAUGGAUCCAAACCCCAGCUCAUUUUCCAUAACAUCUGGGGCACCCUUUGUGUAUCUCGUGUUCACCUUGACAUUCUCAUAUCACAUCUCCUUUGAGGAUUAUGAGGAAUGACUUGUCCAUACAGUUAUCUCAUUCUCCUCUAAACCCUUCUAAACAUCUCUCAGUUCUCCACUUGCCAACAAAUUCAAGCAUGUGUGCACUGAUGUCUCGAAAAAAAAGAAGUCAAAAUGUAAUAAUCUCAAAUUUAGACAUCGGAUGCAUGACAUUCCUCAGUUUUCACAAAACAUUGAAAAUAAACACCAG
rnacentral:lncRNA from 1 species